AUUUUAACCCAACCGAUUUGGGUAUAGUGAUGGAAUAUGCUGCUGGGGGAGAACUCUUCAAACGAAUUUACAAUUCUAGUCGUUGUACUGAAGAUGAGGCAAGAUAUUUCUUCCAACAGCUGAUUUGUGGACUCCAAUAUAUUCAUUCAAUGGGGUAUGCAACAAAUAUGCCAUAGAGACUUGAAGCUAGAUAAUAGAUGGAAGCAAAGCACCACGCGUGAAGAUCUGUGAUUUUGGCUACUCCAAGGUCGCUCUUUGAAUAUAUAUACGUAUAUAUGAUAAUUGUAUUUGCUCAUUUCAAGUUAACUUGCUCUUGCUUCAAAUUUGUUUUGUAGUCAUCCAUGCUGUAUUCAAGGCUAAAUGCAAUUGUUGAUUCUACAACGAAUGCAGAACCAAUGGAUCUAGCAAACAGACAAUAUAAUCGAGAGGCUUUUCUUUAGCCCGUUUGUACGUAUCAACAAAUAACUUUUUGUACCUAUAUUUUGGACGGAAUGCAUCAUAUCCGGAGCAUGAUGAGGGUGUUUGAGAGGAAUAAUGGUCUAGUUGAGAUAUCACAGUGCAACUAAUGAUCUUACUGAUCGAAUCUAGCCAAAAAAAAAUGAGUGAAGACAAGACAUUGCAACACUUCUUUGUCUUACGUUUUUGUAUUGUCAAUUUGUUCUUCAGUUAUACCCGUUGCAUUCAACACCAAAUACAGCGGUUGGUUCUCCAACAUACGCAACACCAUAGGUUCUAGUUGAAGGAAAGUAUGAUGGAAAGAUAGCGGAUGUAUGGUCAUGUGGGGUUACUCUCUAUAUUAUGUUGGUUGGCUCAUAUUCUUUCAACGAUCCGAACGAUCAUGAAGACGUCCAAAAAACUAUUCAGCGAAUAAUGGGUGCAGAUUAUAAAAUACCACAUAAUAUUAAAAUAUCUGAAGAUUGUCGUGAACUACUCUCUCGCAUCUUUGUCCGAGCCCUUGAAGAGAAUUUUGCUGAAAGAGAUUAAAAGUCACCCAUGGUUCUUAAAGAAACUGGCAUGGGAACUGAAUGAAGGAAUCCAAGCCCUCUUUUACAGGAGGGACAUUCGAACCUUCUCUCAUCAAAGUGAUGAAGAAAUCAUGAAGGUCGUGGGAGAGGCGAAAAAGAAACUGCCCUCGUCGUCGACAACCAUCGUGGGCUACAAAUCAAAAACUGAAGAAGAAAAAUAGACCAAUUAUAUAGAAGAAAAUGAGGAAGAUGAAGAAGAUGGAGUCUGAAUGAAAGGAUGGUAAAUGAAAUUCAUGCCACGUGAUGAAAUAUAGUUGAUUAUCAUUUAUAUUAUUGAGGUCGGUUGGUGUUGUAUACAAAAGUAUUAAAUAAUUAUGGUUCUCCAACAGUUACAAGCGUAAAAUAUUAUAUCAAUAGACUUUAAAAAUGUGUUCAUAUACUUGUUGGUUGAUGAUCUGCAAGUCUAUGCUACAAAUUACUU